rfam:Schizophyllum commune H4-8 unplaced genomic scaffold SCHCOscaffold_7, whole genome shotgun sequence.
GUCUGCAUGGCUCAGUUGGUUAGAGCGCCGGUCUCAUACGAAUGUAUGAACCUCCCUGUGAGGUGUAAUCCGGAGAUCGCCAGUUCGAUCCUGGCUGCGGACA